rnacentral:rRNA from 1 species
GAUGAACGCUAGCGGCGGGCCUAACACAUGCAAGUCGAGGGAGAAGCCCUUUCGGGGGCAGAAACCGGCGCACGGGUGCGUAACGCGUAUGCAACCUACCUUUCACAGGGGGAUAGCCCGAAGAAAUUUGGAUUAAUACCCCAUAAUAUUAUUGGAUGGCAUCAUUUGAUAAUUAAAACUGCGGUGGUGAAAGAUGGGCAUGCGUCCUAUUAGCUAGUUGGAGUGGUAACGGCACCCCAAGGCUACGAUAGGUAGGGGUCCUGAGAGGGAGGUCCCCCACACUGGUACUGAGACAGGGACCAGACUCCUACGGGAGGCAGCAGUGAGGAAUAUUGGUCAAUGGUCGGAAGACUGAACCAGCCAUGCCGCGUGCAGGAAGAAUGCCUUAUGGGUUGUAAACUGCUUUUAUAUGGGAAGAAUAAGGCGUACGUGUACGUUGAUGACGGUACCAUAUGAAUAAGCAUCGGCUAACUCCGUG